AAUACAGAUUUCUCAAAGCUAAAGCUAUUCAAAGAUGCAUAACUAAAUCGCACCGAUAUCCUGCAUUAUCGCAUUAUCUUCGAUAGAUAUCGAAGAUGUGUGUUUUUCGAAGAAGUGCUUUCUACGCGUCGCAAUUGGUGAUGGAUUACAUGUAUAGGCACGGCACGGCUUCACUGGAAUCUUAAAAUUUUUUUAAAGGCAAGUGAUACGUGCUGAGCUAAUUUAUUAUGAUCUAUUAUCAUGAUUAUCAUUUAUAAUCUAUUUAUUGUGCAUGAAAUAAAAUUUGACAUUAUAAAGUUCGUAAUAGCCUAAUAAAAGUAAGUAUAUACAAUAAAUUUUUAAGUAGAGGGAACUUUAUGGAAUACAAGAUACAAAUGUUAUUGUUGUAUUUUUCAUUAUAUAUGUUUAUUGUAUUUAUUUAUUAUAAAUGUUAUAAAGAAUAUGUAAAUCGUUUCUUAUGUGUUAUGUAAUUUUCAUUUUACAUUCAAUUGUGUCGCAUAAAGCGAUGCGUGAUUUUAUCAGAAGAUGGCAGUAUAUUACAUUCGAUGUACGAAUGACAGCGGUCGGGAUGAUAGAUCUCUUGCAGUUUAGAUAUAAUAUUUAAACAAAGUAAUAAUAAAAAUUAUUUGUGCGUAGAUCACACAAAACGUGUGAUUUAAAAAAAAUUAUUUAAAAUAAUAUCUACAAUGAUCUUUAUUAAAAUCAACGUGUUUACAAAUACAAUACAUUAUAUUGUAUUAACAUUUUAUCGCUAGACAAAAGUUUAUUAUUUUCUUUUAAGCAAGCAGGAUUGCAAGUGUACUUUCCACUGUUAGUUGUAUUAUUUAGUUAGUUAUAUAUGUUAUUUAUAUAUUAUAUUAUAAUGUAACUAAAUUAAUUUUUUGUUGAUUGUUCCUUCCUUUGCUAAAGCUGCAAAAUAAUAGAAGGUAACAUAAUUGGUUUACUGUAAUUUCAUGUUUCUACUUUGUUGAACGGAUACAUAUUCUGACAGCAAUUUAUCCAAUAUAUUUUAUGGUUCCAGGAUCCACUUUAUCUGUCAUAGCUGAAGCUGUUUUUUCCAUCACAUCCUUAUUCUGUCUGUAAAAGCAAAUAUAAGGUAGCCAUAGCGCAAACAGUAA